CAUGCAAGUCGAGCGGAGACAGUGAGUAGCUUGCUAUGAGCUGUUUUAGCGGCGGACGGGUGAGUAACGCGUGAGCAACCUUUCCCAGACAGGGGAAUAACACACCGAAAGGUGUACUAAUACCGCAUAAGACCACGGGAUCACAUGGCUCUGAGGUAAAAGAUUUAUCGGUUUGGGGUGGGCUCGCGUCCGAUUAGGUAGUUGGUGAGGUAACGGCCCACCAAGCCGACGAUCGGUAGCCGACCUGAGAGGGUGAUCGGCCACAUUGGGACUGAGACACGGCCCAAACUCCUACGGGAGGCAGCAGUGGGGAAUAUUGGGCAAUGGAGGAAACUCUGACCCAGCAACGCCGCGUGGAGGAAGAAGGUUUUCGGAUCGUAAACUCCUGUCCUUGGAGACGAGUAGAAGACGGUAUCCAAGGAGGAAGCCCCGGCUAACUACGUGCCAGCAGCCGCGGUAAUACGUAGGGGGCAAGCGUUGUCCGGAAUAAUUGGGCGUAAAGGGCGCGUAGGCGGCUCGGUAAGUCUGGAGUGAAAGUCCUGCUUUUAAGGUGGGAAUUGCUUUGGAUACUGUCGGGCUUGAGUGCAGGAGAGGUUAGUGGAAUUCCCAGUGUAGCGGUGAAAUGCGUAGAGAUUGGGAGGAACACCAGUGGCGAAGGCGACUAACUGGACUGUAACUGACGCUGAGGCGCGAAAGUGUGGGGAGCAAACAGGAUUAGAUACCCUGGUAGUCCACACUGUAA
rnacentral:rRNA from 1 species